rnacentral:miRNA from 2 species
UAUGCAACGGCAGAUAGGAGCA